CUGGGAACCAUCUGUGCUGGUUUUGUCACACUACUUACUGUGUGAUUUAGGCAAGUCUUCUAUGUAAUUCUAAGUUGUUUGGGGGAAUGUCAUAUGAACAGACUUAUCUCCACUUCAACAUGAGCUGAGGUAGCUUUCCUGGUUCUAGGCAACUGAAAUAAGGGAAAUAAAACUCUGGGGACUGAAUUCUGCCAGUUCUAUAAAACAGUAUCAAACCUCUACUGACAGCCUUGGAGGAGGAUGACCGGCAAGAUUUGAACAGCCACCAAGCGCCACCAAGCUCCCCCAACCACCUGCAUGCACCUGCCUUCAUCUCUUCUGGGCCCUUCCAUGGGUGCCAGUGGAGCAGGGCUUCUUCAAAGCAGCUCUCAGCACCUUUGCCUUUUCCCCU
rnacentral:lncRNA from 10 species